UGUCCUCUAGCUGACAACACACAAAGGUUGAGUCCAGCCUAUGAUAGGUCCUCCUAAAAUGCUUGCAAGUGAUAUAUACUAGAAUUUGUGUGAAAAUGAUCCUGUCCUGUAAGCUCUAAUUUCUAUUUAUGAAAUAGAAAUGCUGAUGUACUAGAAAAUUUUGUAGGCUGUAUAAAGCAUGUGAUGGUGCUGUAUUUGCUAUGCUUUGAUUUCAGUGCUAAAAAAAGAGCAUGUACAGUUGAUUUGCAUAAUGAAUCAAAACAAUAUCUCCCACAAUGCAGGUCAGGAUUUUUUUUCAGAGGAUUAUUCGGGGAUUACUUAGGUUUAUUCUUGCAGUAAAAGAAUGAGCUAUACAGUGCAGUCCCACAGCUGUAAUCCACCUUGUUGCUGCGUCCAGUUCCCUUUCUGAUGGGCUCUGCAACUUUCCCUGCUGAUUUCUGCAUACAUGGUUGGCCUCAUGACUGCUCAUCUGUUGAAGACUGACUGACGUGCCUUACAGUCCUAUAUGCCUGGAGAGUUGCUAGCUUAAUUUGGUGACAAAUAACCCUCAACAGAAAGAUCUAUUCAGACGUCAUUCCUAGGACUAACCCCUAACAAUAUCUUUGAUCUUGAAAGUUCCAAGUGACUGGAUUCCUAAUUCACCCAGAUAUACAUUCAUUGCCAGAUGGAGCAGUGUACUUCCUGAAAGCAUUAUGUGCUGCACAGCAGGAGGUGCAUGCAAGCGGAACUGCUAUAACAAUACUAAUGAUGAUCAUUCUAGUGAUGGGCAGUGUCUGCACUCCAGUGAUUUAUACUGUUGUUGUAGAGGAAAAAAGUCUAGUCCACAGUAUUCAGGAAAAACUCUGCUGGAAUGUCCCUAACAAUCAGCUUACUGGUGAAAAAUGCAGAACAUAUUUGAGUCUAUCAUCCCAGUUAAUACAGUCUUCUUUUUUUUCUAUCCCAUAUUCUUUCCAGUUUCUUGAGAAUAUGGAAUUGCAUCUGGUUGAUGCUAGGGGUGGGCUAGAGCUGUGAAUAUGAACUGCUUAGGCAAAACAAGUUACCUUGAAUUCAGAUAAUCUUCCAUGUUUGCUCUGUUUCUGACAUUUUUUGUUCCAACUAGUCUUAUAAAACAGUUGUGUAAAAUAAGUACUAGUUCUGGCUCUAGUUACAGCUGUCUUUUCAGGCUGAGAGCUAAGCAGCAGCAUCAGGGUUUAGAGAAGCAAGCUUCAAGAUUGCUUAAAGACAGAUUGUAGGACCAAGACACAGUGAAGUUGCUUUGGAAAUGCAAAGCUGGUGCAUGCCUUAAGUAGAAGUUUGUCUCAUAUUGUUUCUCAGCUGAGUAAGUGGCUGAUUUUCAUCUUGGAGUUGUGUAACAUUAUUUCUUUCUGCAGGAAUACCAUUGGGAUACCAACUGCUGAAUUUUCUUGGGAAAAAAAGAGUGCCAUGGGGCAUUUCCAUCAUGGUAAUGGGACAGACAGAGUUUAUCUCUGGUACCAGAGUGGGGAGCUGUGGUCACCUUGCCUGGAUCAUGCAAAAGGUGAAGAGCAGAGGCCCCAUCUUCCAUCACUUGGCUCCCUGCUGUGGGCACCUGCUCCCUGUGUGGCAUAAGGAGGUGAACUGGAUGUUCUUUCAAGAGGACCAGAAACAACAUCAGCCCUUCUAUUCCGUCAGAGGACUUGCCCACUGGAAACUGGAGCAGCAUUUAUCCUUGAAGAAUUUCCUGCAGUAGUUGUUCUUCCUCUCAACUCAUGUACCCAUCUGCUAGGACAGAGGACCGCAGGUGAUCUACACUGCUGAAUCAGAGUGUAAAGCUCCACCCCCAGGGGAGUUACCAGGGCAUUCCCAAGUAAACCUAAAGGUAUAUUAACCCGUUGAACUCUGUGUUUUGUGGGCUUUCUCCCAUCCAUGAUGGAUCAAGACUGCAACCAUCACUUUGACCAACAGACAUUGAAAUAGCAACAAUCAAGUCUUGUCACUGGAUCCACGGGUGGUGAUAUCUUUCUACUCUUAUCCUUCCUUUCUUUUCCUUAUAUUUUCUUAAGUGAUAUUUUUAUGCUUUUAUAUUAUUUUAUUACUUUAGAUAAUAAUAACUAAAAGGGCUACAUACCUGCUCUCCAUCGCAACCAGCCUGUUCUAAAAUAAACCCUACAUACAUAUAUAUACCUACAUAUUUAUAAACACUGGUCAUUCAGUGUCUUUUCACUCUAAUCUGCCCAAAGGGAUGUAUUAACUUGAAUUAUCCUUGUCCUCAGAGGUGGGUUGUAACAGACAUGAAUGCAAAUAAAUUGGUAUAUGACAAUGGUGU